GUUCGUUAGUUGUAUUUUCAGUUGACCGGUGUUGACCAAUUAUCUAAGAAUACAACCGUCUUUCAAAAAGAUCAGCCACGCUCAUAGAUUCUUCCACUUCAAACCGAUCAAGCCUGAAUGUGUAGCUCCAAUGAAUACAAGUUGGCAUCAGAAUUCACAUCAACAAUGGUCUACAACGAGGUACGACCCCACCGAAAAAAUCCAGAGUAACACGGCAGAGACAGAGAAGAUCGACCAUUCAAGUCCUUAUCCUUAAAGCUUGAGGCAUCCAAGAUGUAUUGCAACUGAG